UACGGAGGGUGCAAGCGUUAUCCGGAUUCACUGGGUUUAAAGGGUGCGUAGGAGGGCAGGUAAGUCAGGGGUGAAAUCUCCAAGCUUAACUUGGAAACUGCCGUUGAUACUAUCUGUCUUGAAUAUUGUGGAGGUGAGCGGAAUAUGUCAUGUAGCGGUGAAAUGCUUAGAUAUGACAUAGAACACCAAUUGCGAAGGCAGCUCACUACUCAAUCAUUGACUCUGAGGCACGAAAGCGUGGGGAGCAAACAGG
rnacentral:rRNA from 1 species